rnacentral:tmRNA from 1 species
GGGGGUGUACUGGUUUCGACGGGGGCGUGGAGGCAGGAAUAGCGGGCGGAUGCGCCUACCAUCCAUAAAAUGGGCGUCUUUUAUAAAUUAAAGAACAACGAUAACACUGUUCUUCUCGCUGCUUAAAUAGCGAGCGUUCCGCCCGGGAGUCCCACGGCCCGGGAUGGAGCGUCGAUGAGUGGGGAACGUGCGUGCAGUAAGCUUUGCCUGCGCCACGCAUCAUGAAGCUACCGAGUCCCCGAGCAUGGCGGCCUGCGCUCGGAUGAGGGAAUGCAAACGACCGCCUGCGCCCGGAGAAGUUCCUGUUAAAAUGCUUUCGGACGGGGGUUCGAUUCCCCCCACCUCCACCA